rnacentral:rRNA from 1 species
GAUGAACGCUGGCGGCGUGCCUAAUACAUGCAAGUCGAGCGAACGGACCUGAAUCUUGCUUCUCUUAUGUUAUCCUCGGACGGGUGAGUAACACGUGGCUAACCUAUCUAUAAGACUGGGAUAACUUCUAAAAACCGGAGCUAAUACCUGAUUAUCUUUUGAACUGCAUGGUUCAACAUUUAAAGACGGUCUUUCUUUCACUUAUUGAUGGUUCCGCCCUGCAUUAUCUAGUUGGUAAGGUACGGCUUACCAAGGCAACGAUGCAUAGCUGACCUGGGAGGGGGAGCGGCCACAAUGGAAUUGAGACACGGUCAAGACUCAGACGGGAGGGAGAAGUAGGGAAGGGGCAGAAAGGGGAGAAAGCGUGACGGAGAAACGGCGAGGGAGUGAUGAAGGUCUUCGGAUCGGAAAAGUAUGUUAUUAGGGAAGAACAGAUGUGUAAGUAACUGUGCACAUGGUGACGGUACCUAAUCAGAAAGCCACGGCUAACUACGUG